ensembl:lncRNA
CCAUUGCAGUCAUUAAACGUGAAGCUCACACCUCUUCUCUUGACCCUGUAUCUGUAGCAAAUAGGGGCGCGGAUGUGGCUGCGAAGAAGGCAGCCUCGCAGGGCUUCCUUUUCCCCCUGGCUCACAUGCCUUCCACACCGACCGAUCCUAGUCCUUAUGCCGAUCUUUCAACACUUCGGCCUCUUGCCGGUGCACAGGAGCGUUCCCUGUGGAAACGAUCUGGUGCCAUUCUUGAGGGCGGAAUCUACACAGGGCCGGACAGUAGGCCCUGUUUGCCACGUGCUCUCUUCCACAUUUAUGCUAAGUUGUCUCACGGAAAAGAUCACGUGGGCAAAGGGGGGAUGUGCACUGCUAUAAAUGAGCAUGCUGAGAUAUUGUGCUAACCUCUCCCCUUCACUCUCAGCACUGCACGAAGAGGUGAAAGCGGCGCUUCCAUCCACAGCUACAGCAAUGCAGCACCACCUGAAACCAGGAGACUGGGUCCUCAUUAAGGAUCACUGGAGGAAGCACUGGAAGCAGAGACGCUACACGGGGUCCUUCCAAGUACUCCUGACCACGGAGACGGCAGUUAAGGUGGAAGGGAAAGCGACGUGGGUUCACGCCAGCCACUGCAAACGCAUCCCGGAUCCAGGAGGCGAAGGAGCACCUCCAUCUGGUUCCGGUUAAGGGGUUGCAGGGUGGAGAGCCCUCCCCCACUGCAGUGUUCCAGGACACCGACGAGCCCGGUAGAGACGGCAGAGACAGCAAGGACGGCAGCCACCCGGAGAACAGCGAUAAAAGACAGAUCUCCAGCGCCAAAGAACACUUAGGAAGCAUGGUUGGAGCCUGAGAAUGAACAUGUGUUUAUCACUAUCACUGGCCACAUUUGUGCUGAUCCCACUCACGAUCAAUGAGCUACGACCUCCCUAUGUGAACACCACAGAUUCCGGCCUUCUCCACGCUCCAAUAGAGAAUUUCAGGAAGUUUCCACUGUCCAGCAAAACAAUGCGACAAGACAGAGUGUUUGCUCUACACAAUCGAACAUGAUGCAUGGGUUAAAAUAGAAAGUUACGUAAAUGAAAUUGUGUGUGUUGCCGGGUUGGGAGAUGAAUAUGUACUGUGGGGGGAAGAGUUUUGAUUUAGCAGAUCCACCAUUCUGGUGCAGUAAACCACGAUCGUGUCAGGAGAUACCAGCCCACACUGGCUCCAGCAACUGGAGGGAGGCAUGCAAAAGAACUUACCAGCCUGUCAGCGAGACACAACCUAAAACAGUACCACAUGAAAUCAUUUACAAGGCCGUUAAACCACAGGCCCUGACCUCCUUUAGGCCAGAACAGCCCCCCACUAAAGCAACUUGGAGGCAAGGGUUGAUCUCUUUCAAAUGUCCAAGAGGGGUGUGUGGGGAGGAGGGUUGUAAAGCUCACAUGUUACGGCUGAGCACGCCGCACUUAGGUCACUUGUCAGUCCUGGACUCGGAGGACGUUAGAACUCAGUGUGGGACAAAUGAUACUUGUACGGUGUCUGUAAGUCCUAAAUAUGAUGCAAGUUGGGAAUACCCGCUCUGGUGCGCUCUACCCGAAGGUUGUACGACGGAACCAGCCCAUUUCACUCGGCUAGAUUGGCAGUAUGCAUGCAAGCAUAUGCCCAUUUCAUCUAGAGCACCUAUGCUGGUUCCUGUUCCA